GAUGAACGCUGGCGGCGUGCCUAAUACAUGCAAGUCGAGCGAACGGACGAGAAGCUUGCUUCUCUGAUGUUAGCGGCGGACGGGUGAGUAACACGUGGAUAACCUACCUAUAAGACUGGGAUAACUUCGGGAAACCGGAGCUAAUACCGGAUAAUAUUUUGAACCGCAUGGUUCAAAAGUGAAAGACGGUCUUGCUGUCACUUCUAGAUGGAUCCGCGCUGCAUUAGCUAGUUGGUAAGGUAACGGCUUACCAAGGCAACGAUGCAUAGCCGACCUGAGAGGGUGAUCGUCCACACUGGAUCUGGGACACGGUCCAGACUCCUACGGGAGGCAGCAGUAGGGAAGCUUCCGCAAAGCGCGGAAGCCUGACGGAGCAACGCCGCGUGAGUGAUGAAGGUCUUCGGAUUGUAAAACUCUGUUAUUAGGGAAGAACAUAUGUGUAAGUAACUGUACACAUCUUGACGGUACCUAAUCAGAAAGCCACGGCUAACUACGUG
rnacentral:rRNA from 1 species